UUCGAGUGGCUUACAAGAUGAACCAGUGUAUCAGUUUGUGUACCUGGUAUUUGGAAAGCAAGGAAAGAAGAUGAAGAUCAGUAGAAGCAGCAGUAGUGUAAAUACACAGCAACAACAACAACCCAACAACAGCAAUUCGAAUCAGAUUCGAGGCCCAGAAAACUUUGAAUAAAAACCGAACAACUGAAUAGAGCAAACCCAAAAGCUUGUAAACAAACUAAACAGCAACAAACCACGCGUGUAUUAAACCCGAAACUCAACUCGUUUCUCACUUGUUUUUGUUUUCUCUUUUUUUUUAACUCUCUAGCACUCUCUUAGGAUUUUCAGAAUGUCUCACUCUCUCAAAAGUAAACCUCAAAAAUCUUUCAAGUCUUCCAACUCUAAGUCUUGAAGCUCAAGUGUAAAAGUCUUUUUUCUAAGUCUUAGUCCUCAAGCUCCCUUUAAAAUGUGUCAAAUGACUUUAUAUAUAACAAGACUCUUGUCUUGAAUCCCCAACCCGAAAUAUUUCCCCAAUUGCAUGCUUUGUCCCCACUACUUAAUGUUUUCCUUAUUUUAAACCCUUGUCCCCCAUGCCUACAUGCUUUGUCCCCCACUACAUUAAAUAAAUAUAUCAACCCCAACCCAUUAUAUUUUGUCCCCUAUGCCUAACAUAAACAAUUACAAUAUUCCCCCCACUACAUUAUGUCUUGUCCCCCACUAUAUUAAACAAUUAUAUUAACCUCACCCCAUUACAUCUUGUCCCCCAUGCCUAACAUAAACAAUUACUCAAAAUGUUCAACUCCAAAACUACCCCUCCGACCUUACUGCAAUUACCAAUUUACCCCUGAACGUACUGCAAUUUACCAAACUACCCCAUCAGCUAUAACCAAUUCACCUAAUCAAUCUCAACCAAAAUACAGUAAAUAUGACCAAUUUCUAAACAAAUUUCAACAUCAAAAUACAUGAUUCAAACUAAAUCGACGAAUCAAAAACAGAAAACUCACAUUAAAUCACUGGGGUUACAAACGAACUUCAAACAACGAUGAACAUGAAUUAAAUAUAUUUUAAACAACAAACAUGACAGAUUCAAAUGAUUUAACCAACAUUAACCAUUUCUAAAAAAAAAUACAUAACAAUACAUGAAACAAACUGAAGAAAUAAUUAAUUAAACUUCAAUUUGAAUCUAACGACAUUAAAACUAACAAUUUCACAUGAACAAACUGAAAAAUUAGCAAAACAAGGAACACGAACAAAACAAAAAUCAAACAUUUACCGAUUUUAGAUUCGAGCAUAUCAAAACAAAAUACGGACAAAAAGUGAAACUCAAAACCCACUAACCGGAUCAAAACAACGAACAACGACUGACCAACGACGAACUCGAACUGUGUAUGGAUUGUUUCGACAAACCUUGACCAAAGCUCGAACAAACGAGAUGGUUGAGUCUCGUUUUUGGACUGGACUGAAAGCGACGAACCCAAAUAUGAAGCAUCAACGAUGGGGUCUUUUUGGACGUAGCGAAGAAGAAGCAGUAGCAGCUGGUCGUUUGGAUGGGGACAAAUGAAGCGAAACCCCACGUCCAUGGCUGGAGAUCGGAGAUGGCAGUGGUAGGCGUAGGCAGCCAUGGGAGCUCGAGUUCGAGCUUGUCGAAAACGAAGAAGAUGAAGCAGCAGCGACUGGGUUUCUUUGGACGUAGCAGAAGCAGCCAUGAAGCUUCUUUGGACGUCGCCGAGGAAAGCAGCCAUGGGAGCUCGAGCUCGAGCUCGACGAUGAAGAAGGAAGCAACAUGCUUGGUUUUUGGUUUGGAGCUGUUGUGCAGGGUUAUGGGCGAUGAAACGCACGCGCCGAAACUGCGCGCAGCAGUAGCUCACGUCGACGAGCUUGUGGUCGUCUAUGGCGGGGCUGUGCGACGAAGAAGACGAAGCGUUUGGAUGGUGAAGUAGAAGAAGCAGCAGUGACGUGAAGGAGCAUAAGCUGGUCGUGAGGUGGAAGGGAAGUAGCGAGGGCAACCAUUGUAGGGUUUUUGGGAGUUUUGGAGAAGAAGAAGAGAAGAGAGAGGGGGGCAGAUGGUUUAGUUUUAGGAUUAGGAAAUGAAAUGAAGAUUAGGAGGGGUGUUGGGUAUUUGGGUUAUGGACUGGGUCGACCCGGUUUGAAAUGGACCGGGCCGUAGGGAAGGUUGGAUAUUUUUGGGCUUGUAGCUUGAAUUUGAAGAAGAGCCCAAUUCCGAUUUUCUUUAUUUUUUGCUCUCUUUUCUUCUUUUAUUUUUCUAAAACUAAAUUCUAAAAAUCCUUAAAUUAUUAUAUAGAACUAGAUUAAUUAUAAAAGCGCAAAUUAACUCCCAAUAACAAUUAACGCACAAUUAAGUAAUAAUUAAGCAUAAAAUUGUUCAUUUGGACAUUAAAAUGCUAAAAAAUGCAAAAAAAUGCCUAUUUUUGUAAUUUUCAAUUUUUGUAAAACAAACUUAAUUACUAACAAUUGUAGAAUUAAAUCCUACAUGCNNNNNNNNNNNNNGGAGUAAUUNUCAUAUAGGGCAAAAAUCACGUGCUUACACAAGCUAAACACACAAUUAAUCAUUACUCUAAGAACAAAACCCAAACAAAAUGCAACUUAACAAAAUCUCAAUAUUUAUCAACAUUGCCUCAAUUGAACGAACAAAUUGAUCCUAAAUGAAUAGAUAAGCAGUGACUAAAAUGUUAAACAUUAACACAAGAAAUGACUAAAUCAUGAUUUAUCUAUGUCGAGCAAAAGUACAUAGCAUAAAGAUGAUUUCAAACAAUUUAUUGCACCGAGAAAAGGAACGGUCCUCAAAACAAAGCCAUUUUUGAAUCUGAAAAUACUUAACACUGGAAACCUUAGACAGGGGCAAACUCGACGGAACCUCAGAUUGCGACCUUCGACGAACUCGGAGCUCGCCAAAAAACUCGAAUUAAACCAAAACUCGCCGGAAAAUAGCUGUGGUUAUGUUGCGAUGCAACUGAUUUGAAGCUGUGUUUCCCUGGGGGUUGGACGGAGGAUUUGCGCGAGAAGGUGUGGCUCGCCGGGUUUGAAGAGGAAGUGGAUAUGAUUUUCCCAAAUGGCAAAAGCAAAAGAAAACUCCUAAAUUAACAUGGUUAGUCUGGACGAUGAGCUCAAAUUCGUAAGUCACGAUCUCUUUUUGGGGUGACUCUUAAGGGAAUUUAGGAUUUUGGGGUUUUUGAAGAUUGCAAGUGAACGAUCCUUCAAAAAUGGAGUCGGCAAUGUUCU
rnacentral:lncRNA from 1 species